AUUUGUUUAAACAAACAAGAGUGAUGAUAAUAUCUUAGUCAGGAAAUGUUAAAAAGUGAGAAUCAUAAAACUGGAACAUCUCUUCUGGCUUUUUUAAUCAGAACAGAAAAGACAAAUGGAAAACAAGACAAUUUAAUUAAACACAUUUAUCAGAAAACCUGUAUUUAAAAAAAGAAUACAUUGACGGUUUCUGUGGUUCCUGUUUUUAGAGGAACUUUCUGGUGAAUUGUUGAGACGCUGCUAUAAAAGCGUCUGCAGCUUCUCCAGUUCUGCAGGUUCCAGAGAUGGCAGUGAAUCUCGGUUCUGGAGGUUAUGAUAAUCCCGUCUUCAAAGCCCGAAAAGUGACAGAUGUGAAAGUUUCUUCAGGCGACGUUUAUGAAAACCUUCGGAGAGCUGAAAACUGCGAACAGCAGAAACCAAAAUCAAACUCUGACGUGACGCCCAAAGAAACUGCUGCUAUGAUGCCGAUUCUGUUACAGACGUCUGGUUGAUUCUUCACAGACGUUAAAGUCCAUCUGGUUCUGGUUUCGGUGGGGAUCCUGUCCGUCCUGCUGCUGGUCAGCAUCGGGUUCUUCUCCUGGGCCGGUUGGAAAAUGAACCAACUUGAUGAAGCCUUCAAAAAACACUCAGCAGAGAUGAAGGAUCUGGGGGAAAAAUCACAGAACCAAACUGAGAAACUCAGCAGGCAAAUGGAAAACUUAAAUGAAAAAUCACAGAAUGAAACUGAGAAGCUGAACCAGACAAUCCAGUUGAUCCAGAAAUUCUACACCUUUCUGAUAAAUGAACACUGCAACGGCAGUGGUGAGUAUCUAACUGACGUUAUUCCCAGGGCAGCGUGAACGUUUCACAAAAACCCAACAUAAGAUCAAAUAAAUGUAGCUCAUUUCUAAUUAUAACUGACAAACAAGAAUCAAUAAUUACUGAUAAAGUCUCAGUGUAACAGUAGAACUAUGAUACAAAGGGAAACUUUUUUAAAUAGUAUUUAGUAUUGUAAUUAUUUUCUGUCUCCAGAGUGUUUGCUGUGUCAGACGGGUUGGACCUUCUUCAAUGAAUCAUGUUACUUUUUCAGUAAAGUUUCUCUGACUUGGCUUGAAAGUUGUCGGUUCUGUCAGUUAAAAUCUGCUGAUCUGGUUGUUAUUAAUAAUCUGCAGGAACAGGUGAUCUCUGACACAAUCAUGUUACAACUUCAGAUUUUAAAUAUGGGAUAAAACUCUGUUGACUUGAUCAUUUUCAAUGUUGUAAUCAACAGAAAUUCAUUCAUGACAACGUGACUUCAAACUGCUGGUUGGGGCUGUAUAGAAAUGGGAGCUACUGGUACUGGGUUGACCGUCGUAUCGACACACUAAGGUUCUGGAGGUUGUCUGACCCACAGUCUUAUCAUUCAUAUGCACUCAUAUAUCGAACGGGGAAUCCCACAGCUAGUUGGGCCUCAGCACCAAAUACAUACUCCUACUCCCCCCUCUGUGAGCAGAAAGCCUUCAAAGUGUCUCUAAAUUAACUCUGUUUCUAUUUCCUCCUUUUUCUGCUGCUUUUCCAGAUCAGCAGAUUUGAUAU